AGCCAGUCAAAAACUUGUCAGGUCCUGCCACGUGGGCACCGGGAUGCUGUGGUCGAAUACACAGAACCCUGCAGCAAUAAGAAAAGUGGAGGAAUCCAGGCCCUUUCUUUCUUCUGGCUGGGAGCACCCGAAUAACGAAGGACCUGCUCCAGCAGGAAAGAGUACCCAUGUCCAUCCCAUACCCCUGACAGCUCAGCCCCGAUUGCUCAUCUGUUUCCAAGUACAGCUGAGACAUUUUGCUGGUGGGCAGAGAAGUCAGGGACUCUGCAUCCAGCACCCUGCAGCAGAGGAAGCAUUAGUAUUGCUGUUGUUAGCCUUGUUAUUUUCUCCUAAUAAAAAGGUGGUCGUGACUCACUCCAUU
rnacentral:lncRNA from 1 species